GUUGUAAGCAGAUCCUGCCAGGCACCCAGAAGGAAACCUCAUCAGGACUCCCUCAGAAAGGCCCUGAAGAAUCCUGUGACCUUCAUCUAAAGUAGGUCAUGAGACCCCUGAGCUUAAAACGGAGUGAUCGGCUUUGGAGAAAAAUCCCUGGAAGGCACGCAGGCUGGACAUCAUCAUAUAUUCUCUACAGAUGGAGACACCAAGGCCCACGCCUUCUGUGCUGUUGGAAUUUCAGGAAGGAUGGGGGUGGGGCACGGCCUCA
rnacentral:lncRNA from 10 species